CUUGCUGGGGGAUUAGUGGCGAACGGGUGAGUAACACGUGAGUAACCUGCCCUUAACUCUGGGAUAAGCCUGGGAAACUGGGUCUAAUACCGGAUAUGACUCCUCAUCGCAUGGUGGGGGGUGGAAAGCUUUUUUGUGGUUUUGGAUGGACUCGCGGCCUAUCAGCUUGUUGGUGAGGUAAUGGCUCACCAAGGCGACGACGGGUAGCCGGCCUGAGAGGGUGACCGGCCACACUGGGACUGAGACACGGCCCAGACUCCUACGGGAGGCAGCAGUGGGGAAUAUUGCACAAUGGGCGAAAGCCUGAUGCAGCGACGCCGCGUGAGGGAUGACGGCCUUCGGGUUGUAAACCUCUUUCAGUAGGGAAGAAGCGAAAGUGACGGUACCUGCAGAAGAAGCGCCGGCUAACUACGUGCCAGCAGCCGCGGUAAUACGUAGGGCGCAAGCGUUAUCCGGAAUUAUUGGGCGUAAAGAGCUCGUAGGCGGUUUGUCGCGUCUGCCGUGAAAGUCCGGGGCUCAACUCCGGAUCUGCGGUGGGUACGGGCAGACUAGAGUGAUGUAGGGGAGACUGGAAUUCCUGGUGUAGCGGUGAAAUGCGCAGAUAUCAGGAGGAACACCGAUGGCGAAGGCAGGUCUCUGGGCAUUAACUGACGCUGAGGAGCGAAAGCAUGGGGAGCGAACAGGAUUAGAUACCCUGGUAGUCCAUGCCGUAAACGUUGGGCACUAGGUGUGGGGGACAUUCCACGUUUUCCGCGCCGUAGCUAACGCAUUAAGUGCCC
rnacentral:rRNA from 1 species